rnacentral:tRNA from 1 species
UUUUGAUCUCUUGAGGAUGGGUUCGAAUCCCUUCUCUCUAGAAUUGAGGGGACUUGAACCCCUAUCAGCCACGCUAUCAAGGUGGUCCUUAAGCAUUCAGGCACAAUUCCUUGGAAUUAAAGUUGGGGAGGGAGGCCGGCUAUUGCAAUAGGAAGCGCGAGGUGUCACAGGACAAGUGCUAGGGUUAAUGGAAGGAAGCUU